rnacentral:rRNA from 1 species
GAUGAACGCUGGCGGCGUGCCUAAUACAUGCAAGUCGAGCGAACGGACGAGAAGCUUGCUUCUCUGAUGUUAGCGGCGGACGGGUGAGUAACACGUGGAUAACCUACCUAUAAGACUGGGAUAACUUCGGGAAACCGUAGCUAAUACCGGAUAAUAUUUUGAACCGCAUGGUUCAAAAGUGAAAGACGGUCUUGCUGUCACUUAUAGAUGGAUCCGCGCUGCAUUAGCUAGUUGGUAAGGUAACGGCUUACCAAGGCAACGAUGCAUAGCCGACCUGAGAGGGCGAUCGGCCACACUGGAACUGAGACACGGUCCAGACUCCUACGGGAGGCAGCAGUAGGGAAUCUUCCGCAAUGGGCGAAAGCCUGACGGAGCAACGCCGCGUGAGUGAUGAAGGUCUUCGGAUCGUAAAACUCUGUUAUUAGGGAAGAACAUAUGUGUAAGUAACUGUGCACAUCUUGACGGUACCUAAUCAGAAAGCCACGGCUAACUACGU